rnacentral:lncRNA from 1 species
UCCAUACAGACCUCCAGACCUCUAUGGUUAGCUGGUGGCAAGCUCCAGUCUCUGAACCCCCAGAGACAAGCUUUAUUUGUACAAGCAAGAUAUUACCACAUGCCCAGGAUCAUCUGGAAGAACCUGUGAAAGUGUCCGUGGCAGGAGUGGAAGCAGGGAAAGUGAUAAUUACUCAAAUGCCACAAACCUUACAAACCUUUGCAGGGGAGCUGAGGAGAAACAACUGACUGAAAAUCAGUAAAGCUUCCUCACUGACAUGCCCAGAGGUGUGUCUCCCAGGUGAUUCCAAAUCCAGUGGACAAAGAAGAUAUACCAUCCUAGAGGGAGUCAGGAAGGAAGGGGAACGGAGGGGAGGAGAGAAGAGAGGAAGGAGAGAAGACAACAGGUGAGGAAACAAAGAGGCACAAGGCUGGUUCCCAAGAGUGGCAGACUGGGUCCUGGGUUGGGAUGUGCUGCUCCAAGAGUUGAGAAGGAAACAGCCUGUUGUCUCACACGGAAGCAUGAGCACACACACAGGUACAUGCAUGCACACGCUCACACACUUUCAGCUCUGGGGCCAUCUGAGAAAGCAAAUUCUCCACAGUCAUUGCUGAGGACACACUCAGAAAGUGUGCUUGCACAAGGUCACAGAGAUGUCAUCAGAGACCUCUGGGAUGUCACAUGGGAUGGUGUACCUUUUCUAGCCAGAACUUAAGAAAAUGGGAAAUUCAAAAGCACAUGGGAAGUUAGAUUCCUUCACUAAGUGACUUCCAUGUCUAAGAGGAACUGUAUACCUCACUGACUCGGUGACAGCUGUCUAGAACAGAAUGAUAAGUAGUGAGGGCAACAAGAAAAAUAAAUGAGCCAAACACUUUUUUUUUUCCAGAGAGAAAGAGAGAGAGAGAAGUAAACAGCCACAACCACCCAAGGAAAUGAGAGAAAGCAGAUGAUGAAACUAAUGGGUUAGAAAAUAGAACAUGAAUUGAUGAAUAAAAGCAGGGUCUGAUUCUUUAGGAGGACCAAUGAAUUUCAGGAACCAUCAGCAAGCCCAAUCAAGGGGGAGAAAAAAAUAUGAGCAUGUAAAAUGAGAAAUGGGAGCGAGUAAAAUAAAAAAAACACAGAAAUAGCUUUCAUCUCCCUGCUAAUAAACCAGAGAAUCCCAAUGUUUUUCUCUAGGAAAUAUAAAUUGAAGAAGUGGCCAUGUGGCGGGGUAGACUAAUAAUCUGGGGGAAGGCAGAAAAGGUGGUGAGAAAAAUUAACCCUGCACCGUGUCUGCGUAGUUUCAAGGCUGGAGGGAUGGACAGCUAACUCUGUACUGUGUAGAUGGGGUGAGGCCGUGGGUAAAGAGGG